rnacentral:rRNA from 1 species
UACAAUGUAGAGUUUGAUCCUGGCUCAGGAUGAACGCUAGCUACAGGCUUAACACAUGCAAGUCGCAGGGUAACGUGAGGGAAGCUUGCUUCCCUUGACGACGACUGGCGCACGGGUGAGUAACGCGUAUCCAACCUUCCCAUGACCACGGGAUAACCCGUUGAAAGACGGACUAAUACCGUAUGACGUCGUUUGCUGACAUCAAAUAACGAUUAAAGGUUUAGCGGUGAUGGAUGGGGAUGCGUCUGAUUAGCUUGUUGGCGGGGUAACGGCCCACCAAGGCGACGAUCAGUAGGGGUUCUGAGAGGAAGGUCCCCCACAUUGGAACUGAGACA